AUUGAACGCUGGCGGCAGGCCUAACACAUGCAAGUCGAGCGAGCGGAGGACGGGAGUGUAAUGUCUGGGAAACUGCCUGAGGGGGGGGUAAAAAUACUGGAGAGGGUAGCUAAUACCACACACCUUCAGAUGUCGACAGAGGGGAUUAGCUAGUGGGUGGGGUAACGGCUCACCUAGGCGACGAUCCCUAGCUGGUCUGAGAGGAUGACCAGCCACACUGGAACUGAGACACGGUCCAGACUCCUACGGGAGGCAGCAGUGGGGAAUAUUGCACAAUGGGCGCAAGCCUGAUGCAGCCAUGCCGCGUGUAUGAAGAAGGCCUUCGGGUUGUAAAGUACUUUCAGCGGGGAGGCGUUACCCGCAGAAGAAGCACCGGCUAACUCCGUGCCAGCCGCCGCGGUAAUUC
rnacentral:rRNA from 1 species